rnacentral:rRNA from 1 species
CUACGGAGGGUCCGAGCGUUAAUCGGAAUUACUGGGCGUAAAGCGCGCGUAGGCGGCUAUAUAAGUCAGAUGUGAAAUCCCUGGGCUCAACCUAGGAACUGCAUUUGAAACUGUAUGGCUAGAGUAUGGUAAAGGUGAGUGGAAUUUCAGGUGUAGCGGUGAAAUGCGUAGAGAUCUGAAGGAACAUCAGUGGCGAAGGCGACUCACUGGGCCAUUACUGACGCUGAGGUGCGAAAGCGUGGGUAGCAAACAGGAUUAGAAACCCCAGUAGUCC